AACUGACACCUACCUGUCGCAAAAAUGUCCGCGUCUUCCCUUAUAAAACAUUAAUUAAUCGUAGUGAACUCCACAUAGCUCGUUUAGUGUAAAACAUGUUUAGAUUAGCAGGAAGACAGUCAGUUCAUUAAGUGAUGAGCUGUUUCCUCACAAAAGCAGUUUAUGAGCGUUACGCUAUUUGAUGCUACGCUUGUAGGCUCCUUUGGGAGGGCUCUGGUUUAGGCGUUCACCUCGCUCGAGUCCUUUCGACACGUUUGUCCAGAUUCGGAUAGCUGUUAUCUAUUUCUCAAACAUUUCCAUCAGCAAAGGAAUUCUUUUUCAUACCAGCAAUUACAUUUACACACAGAUUCGUCCAGUCCAGAUGAUUCUGUGAUGCGGAUUCUUCUGUCGGGCAGAAAGGGUUCUGGGAAAGUUCAUCUGGGAACACAAUACUAGGACAAAAGAAGUUUAAAGUUCACAAACAGAAGAGAAAUCAUGAAGCAGAUGUUUGUGAGGAUACAUCACACAUCAAUGAAAACCAGAGUUUGAUGAUGGAGAAUAUUAAUGUGACGUGUGGACAGAUUCAGACUGCUGUGGGGUUUGUGUACAGAGUAUCAUCUGUGAUACUGAAUCAAACUCAGAAUCCUGAUUGUGAUCAGGCCUGGUACACACAGGUGAUGAUGAUGAUGAGUGUUUCUCAGUCAGUUCUUCACAUGGAGACAGACACGUGAUGUAACUGUGUUUGAUUGUGAUCAGUCCUGGUGCACACAGGUGAUGAUGAAGAGUGUUUCUCAGUUAGUUCUUCACAUGGAGACAGACACGUGAUGUAACUGUGUUUGAUUGUGAUCAGUCCUGGUGCACACAGGUGAUGAUGAAGAGUGUUUCUCAGUUAGUUCUUCACAUGGAGACAGACACGUGAUGUAAUUGUGUUUGAUUGUGAUCAGUCCUGGUGCACACAGGUGAUGAUGAAGAGUGUUUCUCAGUUAGUUCUUCACAUGGAGAAGAGACACGUGAUGUAAUUGUGUUUGAUUGUGAUCAGUCCUGGUGCACACAGGUGAUGAUGAUGAGUGUUUCUCAGUUAGUUCUUCACAUGGAGACAGACACGUGAUGUAAUUGUGUUUGAUUGUGAUCAGUCCUGGUGCACACAGGUGAUGAUGAAGAGUGUUUCUCAGUUAGUUCUUCACAUGGAGAAGAGACACGUGAUGUAAUUGUGUUUGAUUGUGAUCAGUCCUGGUGCACACAGGUGAUGAUGAUGAGUGUUUCUCAGUCAGUUCUUCACAUGGAGACAGACACGUGAUGUAAUUGUGUUUGAUUGUGAUCAGUCCUGGUGCACACAGGUGAUGAUGAAGAGUGUUUCUCAGUUAGUUCUUCACAUGGAGAAGAGACACGUGAUGUAAUUGUGUUUGAUUGUGAUCAGUCCUGGUGCACACAGGUGAUGAUGAUGAGUGUUUCUCAGUCAGUUCUUCACAUGGAGACAGACACGUGAUGUAAUUGUGUUUGAUUGUGAUCAGUCCUGGUGCACACAGGUGAUGAUGAGUGUUUCUCAGUUAGUUCUUCACAUGGAGACAGACACGUGAUGUAAUUGUGUUUGAUUGUGAACAGUCCUGGUGCACACAGGUGAUGAUGAAGAGUGUUUCUCAGUUAGUUCUUCACAUGGAGACAGACACGUGAUGUAAUUGUGUUUGAUUGUGAUCAGUCCUGGUGCACACAGGAUGGUGUUGUGAUAGCAGAUCCAUCAUAUAACAGAUGGACUGA